UCAGAACGAACGCUGGCGGCGUGGCUAAGACAUGCAAGUCGAACGGACUGCUCAAUUUAUUGAACAGUUAGUGGCGAAAGGGUUAGUAAUGGAUAGGUAACGUGCCCUCUGCUUUGGGAUAGCGUCAUCCCGAUUUAGCGGGAUUUCCGAAAGGGGCGGUAAUACCGAAUAAUAUCACUUCUCGAUAGGCGAAUGUUCAAAGAUUUAUCGGCAAAGGAGCGGCCUAUCUCCUAUCAGCUUGUUGGUGAGGUAAUGGCUCACCAAGGCUGCGACGGGUAGCGGGACUGAGAGGUUGACCCGCAACAUCGGGACUGAGACACUGCCCGGACCUCCACGGAGGGCUGCAGUAACGAAUAUUGUGCAAUGGGCGAAAGCCUGACACAGCGACGCCGCGUGCGGGGGGAAGUCCCUCGGGAUGUAAACCGCUGUCAGGGGUAUGAAAGUGCGCUUCGGCGCAUUGAUCUAACCCAGAGGAAGUCACGGCUAACUUCGUGCCAGCAGCCGCGGUAAGACGAAGGUGGCAAGCGUUGUUCGGUAUUACUGGGCUUAAAGCGUGUGUAGGCGGAAAGGUAAGCGUCGUGUGAAAGCCCCCGGCUUAACCGGGGAACUGCUCGACGUACUGCUUUUCUUGAGGCAAGUAGGGGUGCAUGGAACUCUUGGUGGAGCGGUGGAAUGCGUAGAUAUCAAGAGGAACGCCAGUGGUGAAAACGGUGCACUGGGCUUGUCCUGACGCUGAGACACGAAAGCGUGGGGAGCGAACGGGAUUAGAUACCCCGGUAGUCCACGCCGUAAACGAUGUCUACUAAGGUUGUCUGGAAAGUUCUGACACUUGGCACGGCCGGAGCAAAGUGUUAAACGUAGACCGCUGGCGGAAGUACGGUACGCAAGGCUAAAAUCACACGGAAUUGACACGGGAAUCAACUAGUGAAUUCGC
rnacentral:rRNA from 1 species